CAGCUGGGGGAGCCCUUCGGGGCUGAGAGGACAAGAUGUUGACCCUUACUACCUGAUCCGGACAAUGCCGGCGAAGGGAAGCGAAUCA
rnacentral:ncRNA from 1 species